ACACUCCUUUCCAUGUUGAGGAGCCUGACAGAGGAAGCCAAGGCGGACUGGAAAAACUCCUUGAGCAAAGUGGUGCAUGCGUAUAACUGCACACGCAGUGAAGCAACAGGAUAUGCCCCAUAUUAUCUUCUCUAUGGCAGAAACCCCCGCCUACCAGUGGACAUCAUGUUUGGCCUGGUUCCAGGUGACCAGAGUACUUCUCACAGUGAUUACGUCCGUAAGUGGAGAAGUAGGAUGCAAGAGGCAUACAGAUUGGCAUCAGAAACAGCCCAGAAAGAGAGGAACAGAGCGAAAAAGCAGUACGAUCGGAAGGCUCAUGGAGUGGAACUGCAACCGGGAUGUCGAGUGCUAGUACGGAACUUCAGAGAUCGGGGUGGGCCCGGAAAGCUAAGGUCUUACUGGGAGGAGCGAGUACAUGUCGUGUUAGAAAGAAAGCACAAAGAUAGCCCUGUCUAUGCUGUACAGCCAGAGAGAGGACCAGGGAAAGUGAGAGUUCUGCACAGGAACCUCCUACUGCCCUGUGACUUUCUCCCCGUCCAGGAGGAGAAGCUGGAGAAAAACAAGAAGGGGAAGGAGGAUGCCAAACAACAAAGAAAAGGAAAGACCCAAGAAAAGCAGCAGGAGAGCGACCACGACAGCGGUUCAGAGGAUGAGGGUGACUGGGGAAUUAUCACCACACAAGCUGCGGAAUCACCCACCCAGAUCAGGAGUCAGCUGAGGGCAGAGGCAGAGGAGUUCCAGCCAGAAGAAGCUGACGGAGAACUGUCAAGUGGUGGUGUCAGCAGCGAGUGCCUAGACAAGGGUGGAAAAGGUGGACUGGAGUCAAGUGCAGAGGAGGAGGAGGCAGGGCGAAGUGAGCUGUCUGGGGAGGAGAACAGAAGAAGUCAAGGACAGGUGUCGUCAUCUGAUGAAGAAGACGAGGGAGAGCCCAACUCACAGCCAGUUCCCACAAGAAAUUUCCUGUUUCAAAAUAAAAGCAUGGAUUUCAAAAUAAAACCGAAGAGCCUUUCAAACAAACGUAAAAAUAUUUACAAUUUUAAAGGUCAUUUACACUGCC
ensembl:lncRNA